rnacentral:rRNA from 1 species
CUAAAUCUCACAUUUUUGACCUCGAAUCAGGUAGGGAUACCCGC